GAUGAACGCUAGCUACAGGCUUAACACAUGCAAGUCGAGGGGUAACGAGAGGAAAGCUUGCUUUCCUUGUCGACGACCGGCGCACGGGUGAGUAACGCGUAUCCAACCUGCCCCCAACUAGGGAAUAACCUUGCGAAAGUAAGACUAAUACCCUAUAAUUUCCUCAGAUGUCAUCUGAUGAGGUAUAAAGAUUUAUCGGUAGUGGAUGGGGAUGCGUCUGAUUAGCUUGUUGGCGUGGUAACGGCCCACCAAGGCAACGAUCAGUAGGGGUUCUGAGAGGAAGGUCCCCCACAGUGGAACUGAGACACGGUCCAAACUCCUACGGGAGGCAGCAGUGAGGAAUAUUGGUCAAUGGGCGGAAGCCUGAACCAGCCAAGUAGCGUGCAGGAUGACGGCCCUAUGGGUUGUAAACUGCUUUUAUACAGGAAUAAAGUUAGCCACGUGUGGUUAUUUGUAGGUACUGUAUGAAUAAGGACCGGCUAAUUCCGUGCCAGCCGCCGCAGUAA
rnacentral:rRNA from 1 species